rnacentral:rRNA from 1 species
UGCAAGUCGAACGAACUCUUCGGAGUUAGUGGCAGACGGGUGAGUAACGCGUGGGAACAUACCUCUUGGUACGGAACAACAGUUGGAAACGACUGCUAAUACCGUAUACGCCCUAUGGGGGAAAGAUUUAUCGCCGAGAGAUUGGCCCGCGUUAGAUUAGCUAGUUGGUGAGGUAAUGGCUCGCCAAGGCGACGAUCUAUAGCUGGUCUGAGAGGAUGAUCAGCCACACUGGGACUGAGACACGGCCCAGACUCCUACGGGAGGCAGCAGUGGGGAAUAUUGGACAAUGGGGGCAACCCUGAUCCAGCCAUGCCGCGUGAGUGAUGAAGGCCUUAGGGUUGUAAAGCUCUUUCAGCGAGGAGGAUAAUGACGUUACUCGCAGAAGAAGCCCCGGCUAACUUCGUGCCAGCAGCCGCGGUAAUACGAAGGGGGCUAGCGUUGUUCGGAAUCACUGGGCGUAAAGCGCACGUAGGCGGAUUGGUCAGUUAGGGGUGAAAUCCCAGAGCUCAACUCUGGAACUGCCUUUAAUACUGCCAGUCUUGAGUCCGAGAGAGGUGAGUGGAACUCCGAGUGUAGAGGUGAAAUUCGUAGAUAUUCGGAAGAACACCAGUGGCGAAGGCGGCUCACUGGCUCGGUACUGACCCUGAGGUGCGAAA